rnacentral:rRNA from 1 species
UUCGCAAUGCCCGAAAGGGUGACGAAGCGACGCCGCGUGCGGGAAGAAGGCCUUCGGGUUGUAAACCGCUGUCGGGAGUUAAGAAAUGUAAGGAUGUUAAUAGCAUCUUUGCUUGACUAAGGCUCCGGAGGAAGCCACGGCUAACUCUGUGCCAGCAGCCGCGGUAAUACAGAGGCGGCAAGCGUUGUUCGGAAUUAUUGGGCGUAAAGAGCACGUAGGCGGCUAUGUAAGUCGGUUGUGAAAGCCUUCCGCUCAACGGGAGAACAGCAUCCGAUACUGCAUGGCUUGAGUGCGGGAGGGGAGAGUGGAACUUCUGGUGGAGCGGUGAAAUGCGUAGAUAUCAGAAGGAACGCCGGCGGCGAAAGCGGCUCUCUGGCCCAUAACUGACGCUGAGUGUGCGAAAGCUAGGGGAGCGAACGGGAUUAGAUACCCCGGUAGUCCUAGCCGUAAACGAUGGGCACUAAGUAGAGGGGUUUU